CGGAGCUUAACUAACAACCUGAGGGCUGUUUCUCCCAGUCGCCCACCUGACCCUCGUCUAGCCGACGUUGUUUGCCUUCUCCAGACCUCCCGCGGGUGACUGUAUCCCUCCCCCAAUCACUCUCCGCGACCACACCUGUGAGACCAGUUCCGGAGUCUGAGAUGUGCAAACGCAAGGUGCAGCAGGCCUUUGGAUAGUUCUAAGAGCAGACGCACCUGCCUAACCCAGAGCUUCCUGUAGUGCACCGUGUACAGACAGCCGCAGAGAAGCCCCAGCGUGCACUGGAGCAGCAGCCUCACGAGAUUGCUUGCUCUAGGCUAUUUACUGUUUCUCUGGUUUCCACAUUCUAAUAACUCAUUAAAACUUAUUCAACUCUU